AUGGUGUGCAUGGACGGCAAGAGGGUGCGGCUGUUCCAGUGCCUCUUCUGCGACAAGACGUUCCUCAAGUCGCAGGCGCUCGGCGGCCACCGAAACGCGCACCGCAAGGACCGCCUCGCCGGAGUCCUCGGCGACCCCUACAACAACGACAGUCUGUUGGGAGGUGCCGCCACCGAGCCGUCCUGCGAUUCUGCUGCCGGCUGGUCCAUGUGCAGUUACAUCGCCUCGCACGGCCGUGGCGGCGCGGUCGUUCCAGCCACCGAUGCCUGCACGCAAGAGAGAUGGGGAGGCGGCCGUGCUCCACGCUUCGCGGAGCCCGCGCCGCUCCUGGGCCCGUCCACUGGCCGCGACGGCAUGGGCCGGUCAAGGGCCUCUGGCGCUAGCAGCGCCGACGAGGCGCUAGACGUCGAGCUGCACCUCUAG
rnacentral:rRNA from 1 species